UGGGGAAUAUUGCACAAUGGGCGAAAGCCUGAUGCAGCAACGCCGCGUGAGGGACGACGGCCUUCGGGUUGUAAACCUCUUUAGCAAGGAAGAAGCGAAAGUGACGGUACUUGCAGAAAAAGCGACCGGCUAACUACGUGCCAGCAGCCGCGGUAAUACGUAGGGCGCAAGCGUUAUCCGGAAUUAUUGGGCGUAAAGAGCUCGUAGGCGGUUUGUCGCGUCUGCUGUGAAAACCCGAGGCUCAACCUCGGGCCUGCAGUGGGUACGGGCAGACUAGAGUGCGGUAGGGGAGAUUGGAACUCCUGGUGUAGCGGUGGAAUGCGCAGAUAUCAGGAAGAACACCGAUGGCGAAGGCAGAUCUCUGGGCCGUAACUGACGCUGAGGAGCGAAAGGGUGGGGAGCAAACAGGCUUAGAUACCCUGGUAGUCCACCCGUAACGUUGGGAACUAGUUGUGGGGUCCAUUCCACGGAUUCCGUGGACGCAGCUAACGCAUUAAGUUCCCCGCCUGGGGAGUACGGCCGCAAGGCU
rnacentral:rRNA from 1 species